GGACUUAUUUCGUGUUGCUUCCAUGUUUGUCGAGGGUCCUUUUCGUUUGUUAUAGACUUGAUUAUGUUGCUGGAGCAACUCUCGCGAUUACCUCAACCUAGUGCUUCCAGCUGCUUAAUAAGGGAUUUGCAGGUUUAUAUGAUGAUAUUAAAGGUGACAGGAGUAGGUGUGGUCGGGGGAGAGGCUGGUUUUACUGCUUAAGGGCCCAGCUCUAUUGUGUUAGUCGACAUGAUCAGAGUGCCAGAUUGGACAUUUGAAGCUACUGGCCCGGAGAUGAGAGGGAUGGGCCAAGAUGCUGCUUCAUACCAUCCAGGAAUUUAUAUGAGCCAAGCUCAGGCACUCAUUCAAGAACUUCCAAUGUUCAUGAUGAAGGCUGUUCCAACUGACUGCAGUGAGUGCCCUAUCUGUUUGGAAGAGUUUAAUGUGGGAAAUGAGGUAAUUUUUUUUUUUUGGGUAAACUUCUCCUUAUUAUUAAAGAAUUUUUAGGACUCCACUUUUCUUGUAUGAUGCUCUCACAUGUUGACUCAUUUCGGAUAAUAAUAACAUUUCGCGUGUCAUUCUACAAUUUAAUUGUAUAAUACAAAUCUACACUAUCAUAUACAGCUUCCACCAAAAUACAUUGUGAACAUCAACCAAAUGACUCAAAAUUUCUCAUAAAGUAGUAUUUUAUAUGCAAGUCAGAUUAAUUUCCAAUGCCGUUGUAGGGGUAGUACUGUGGGAGUACUGGAGCAAUAAUAGUUUGAAGGUGCAUGCUCAACUAGUGGAAUACUGGAAUUACUACUGUCAUGCAAUCGUCCCCAUCCCCUCCUAAUUCAAGAGAACUAAGAGCUUAAAUUCUGAGAAACAUGGUUAAAAGAAGGUGAGAAAGACUUGGUUUGGUGUUGUUUUAGGUUGUAGUUGCUAUCUAUAAUCUUCGGGUUUCUGUAGCUUAGUGAAGAGGAUGAUUGUAUAUCUCGGUAUGCCUUGAAGACACUUAACUGAUCAAAAGAUAUAUGGGGGGAUCAAAUGCAUGCUAAUUCCAGUUAAGUAGGAUUAGGACAUAAUGCCCAUUUUGCAAUUUGUUAUCCUUUUCUACUUUUCCCCUUUUUCUUGUGUUGUUGGUGGAGGUUGGUUUGUUAGAAGCCAACACCACGACAGUCAUACUAGAUGUCAUUCAGUUUUUCCAAAUCUUGGUCUCAGUUCUUUGGCAAAUAUCCAUGUUGUUUCAGCAUGGUAUUUGAGAUCCCAACCUUCUAGCAUGAGAUAUCUGCUGAGAUCGCAAGGUUUUCUGCGUCCUGUGCACACAGAGGAUGCUGGCCCAAGCAGUGAGGUAAAUGCAACUGCUCAAACAAGAGUUGAGAACAGAGCCCAAGCAGUCAUGGAAAUGUAGAGCGUGUGGAAGUACUGGCGGAACAUUCACCAAAACUGCUGUAACUUUUUGUUGGGGAAGUUCCUUGCUGGUUUAAAUGUUCUAACUUUGCGGGCACUGAAUUUUUUUGUCAACCAUCUAGCCAAUGUCGAGUGUUGUAGUGCUCUCUAAUUGUAAUUCGACUGCUAAACAAGUUUGUUGAUGGAAGACAAUAGCUGAAACGAUAUAUGUUUAUAUGUAGCUGAAACAAUUCUUAUGUUAUAAUCUCCGUAAAAUUAGAUCGUAAAUCAGACUA